rnacentral:rRNA from 1 species
CAUUUUUAUUUCUGGUAUCUUAUGCACAGGCUAAAUACACCAAACCCAUAUCGAACUUGGUGGUUAAAGCCUAUUGCGGUGACAAUACUUUAGGAGGGGUCCUACGGAAAAAUAGCUCGAUGCCAGAAG